rnacentral:rRNA from 1 species
CCUACGGGAGGCAGCAGUGGGGAAUAUUGCGCAAUGGGGGCAACCCUGAUGCAGCAACGCCGCGUGAUUGAAGAAGGCCUUCGGGUUGUAAAGUUCUUUCAUCGGGGACGAAUUUUGACGGUUUCCGACGAAUAAGCUCCGGCUAACUACGGGCCAGCAGCCGCGGUAAAACGUAGGGAGCAAGCGUUAUCCGGAUUUACUGGGUGUAAAGGGCGUGUAGGCGGGCAUGCAAGCCAGAAGUGAAAUCUGGGGGCUUAACCCCCAAACUGCUUUUGGAACUGGGUGUCUUGAGUGAUGGAGAGGCAGGCAGAAUUCCCGGUGUAGCGGUGAAAUGCGUAGAGAUUGGGAGGAACACCAGUGGCGAAGGCGGCCUGCUGGACGUUGACUGACGCUGAGGCGCGAAAGCGUGGGGAGCAAACAGGAUUAGAUACCCGAGUAGUC